ACGCGAAGAACCUUACCAGGUCUUGACAUCCUUCUGACCGCACCUUAAUCGGUGCUUUCCUUCGGGACAGAAGAGACAGGUGGUGCAUGGUUGUCGUCAGCUCGUGUCGUGAGAUGUUGGGUUAAGUCCCGCAACGAGCGCAACCCCUAUCUUCAGUAGCCAGCAGGUAAGGCUGGGCACUCUGGAGAGACUGCCAGGGAUAACCUGGAGGAAGGUGGGGACGACGUCAAAUCAUCAUGCCCCUUAUGAUCUGGGCGACACACGUGCUACAAUGGCGGUCACAGAGUGAGGCGAACCCGCGAGGGGGAGCAAACCACAAAAAGGCCGUCCCAGUUCGGACUGUAGUCUGCAACCCGACUACACGAAGCUGGAAUCGCUAGUAAUCGCGAAUCAGAAUGUCGCGGUGAA
rnacentral:rRNA from 1 species